rnacentral:snRNA from 8 species
AUCUUUUAAUCAUCAUCUGUUCUUAUCAGUUUAAUAUCUGAUACGUCCCCCAUCGGGGGACUACAUAUUAAAUGGAUUUUUCGAACAGGGAGUCGGAAAUGGGGCUUGCUCCGUCCGCUCCACGCAUCGACCCGGUAU